GUGAUAAUGUGCAACCUGAUGAAGUCGAUACAAUAUUCAUAGCGCUUUUAACUUUCGAACGCAUGUAACCACUGUAGACACUUCGUUUUCAUUAUCGUCACCUUUGCUGCGUCGUCUUGUGCAGAAACUUCUUCUGUCCCAACAUUGACAGGUGCUUAGACCGAUCGUGAUAACUACGAGGAAGCUCUUCGUUAAGAAUUAAUGUAGCAUCGUAUUAUUACUAACAGAGUAAAAAAGGUUCGCUAAGAUUGCAAUUAUUAUUGAAAUUUAGGAAGAAAACCGCUAAACGAUCCUAUCCGUCAUGCCUGUUGCUAUAAUAAAAAAAAUCAUGAGGAUAUUAUUCGGCUCACUACACUCAAUAAUAAUUAUUGAUAUCUGUAUUUCAUACAUACCAAACUUAUUCUUUUUACAUAACCUAACCCAUAAUAAUGAAUAUAUUAAUUUCAAUGAAACAAAUAACAAAACCAAUAACAUAACGAUUCACAAUGAGGAUGACGUGCUAAAAGAAGUACUAAUUAAUUUAUCGUUUAAGAAAUCAAAAAAAUUCGUAUUCUAUACCAGAAUAUUUUACCUUUACUGCGUAGUUUUAUACAAUUUAUGCAGUUUAUAUCGCGAACAUAUACUAGCUUACUUAAAUAAUUUGUACAACCGGUUCUUUCGCCGUAAUCAAGAUAAUGAGCAAGCUGUCCAUUUUCCAAGACGAUAGAAUUUAUUGGAAUGGACAAGCGAAUAUCCAUCCACAAAACUUGGCACGAGAGGAUGAAUUUUAAUUCGGAAAGUUAACAUGAUUUGAUGUUUUGCGCAUUAGUGCAAAGAGUCACAUAUUUGUAAUAUUGAUAAAGUUUCUUAAUGUUUCUUACGUUAAAACCUUAUUCUCAAGUUCAAAUCAUUUAGACAACGCAUA